CCAGCUUCCAAACAGCUAAUUUGCAGCAACAUGCUUAAUGCAACCAUGGAGACUUUUGUCAUUGUAAGUCAACAAGGAAGCCUGACCUUAAUCUUAUGCUUCAGCUUUUGUCUUGCUCUGCAGAGGUGGGAAAAUGCUAGGAGAGGGCAGGGAGAUGGUAUUUUGGGAAAUCUGCACAUCACGUUUUGAGGAACUACAGUUAAAUAUUGUUGAACGUGGUUUGCACUUUUGUUUGCUGUACUGCAUACAGCAUGUGGCCCUUUAGUUGGUGAUGGACUGGAAAAUCCCAUCAUCCCUAAUCAUUUUCCACGCUGGCUGGAGUCCACAACAUUGGGAAGUGGGGAGUGUCCCUGGACUAUAGUAUGGUACUGUCAUUUACAAGUGAUCUAUUCCCACAAUGAUUGAAUAAAACUUGUAGAAUCCAUUUCUUAUCCCCUGUAAAAGUACACUAUGAUUUAUUUGCAUUUAGGACCUCCAUUUUCUUAAUGGAGAUACAACUAUAAUGCUUUAAAGUUUAGGAUUUAAUACACGUACACAUCCUACCUUUCACUCACAAUCACUUUGCUUUUGAAACGUACUGCAUUUCAUUGUUUCCCCAAAUAGGUGGCAACACUUGCAUCAAGUGUGCAUCCCACAUAGAAAGGUACUAGAUGCAAUCUUAAGAAAUAUCAUUUUUUAGCAAAUGAAAGGGGGUAAGUAAAACAUUAGACAUGGAGCUAAUUAGUGAGCAGGUUCAGAGAUGACUUCAGAGUAUUCAGUAUACUAAGGUUUAAAGCAAACUGUAAACACUAAGUUGUUUAAUUAAGAUGAACAUUAAUGCACACAAGGAAAAAUAAUCCUUACAGAUUCAAGAUUACUCUCACUAAUUUACAGUUUCCAUUAUUCUCAGAAUUACUCUGGACAACAUUCACACUCGCUAAACCAAUUUAAAGCAGAAGCCAACUUCUUUAUAUUCAGGCAAGACUGGAAAGUUUUGAAGUAGCAACCAGAGCACACGGCAAGAAGUUUAUAUUUUUUUUAAACAGGCUGCUGAGAGUCAUUUGUUUUUCACAUGUGUUGCUGCUUAUUUUUUUUUUCCUAGACCCAUGUAGGAAAAAUACAAUGUGUGAAGUGUCUGUCCAUGAGAAAACAUGCUUUGUAUAAACAAACAGAGGUCAACUUCCAAAAUGUUGCAUGUCUUGCUUGCUGAUCCUCUUUCUACCACCCCCUCUCUAUUACCUUACCACUACGCUUAACUUUUGUAUACAUACAGCAUCCUCCCUAAUGCUUUGUUCACUUGAUUCAUUCAGUUUGCAAAAGGAGUAGCUGCAAAUGUAUUGUUGCAUUUAUAAUAGUAUUUGUGGUGCUAUGCUGUAAAACGUGAAGGAGAGUCACACAUCUCCAAACAUUCAGACGCAUGUGGUGGACUUGGUUUAGACAGCUGCAACUGGGUGAAAUAGCCCUAAGUAAUUAGUGUUUCCAGGCACUUGGAAAGAUUUGCUUUUUUUAAAAUGCAUAUCCAUUAUUUAGAUUGUUUUGGACAUCUGGUUCAAAUUUCCAGAAGAUGCCUUGUAGCUGACUUGCAGCCUUAGCCUUAGCACCCAUUCAAGUUUUUGUGUAAGCACUAAUGAUAACAUCAAUUGCCAUGUGAUAGCUUAGCUGCAUUAACCUGCUAUCACAAGUUGUUGCCAUAUGAAUUGGGUACCCAUUCAAGUAGAGGCCAUUUCAAAUGCUUUAUGCAGCAGCAGUAAUUGUCCCCAUGGAGUAAAGAGUUUUCAUACUGCUAUCAUAUUUCUGGUAUCAUCUACAGUGGCAUGCCAUUAAGUGGACUUUCUCUGCUUUGGUGGUGAUCUAUGUGCUAAGCCAACACUACAUGUCAUCACUAUUGUCUAGAUUACCUCUUAUGUGGAGGCUGUUUCAUGUGGCAGUCAUAAUAUUUAUACCAGCCUUUAAACAAAACUUGAAGUACAAGCACACAAGCCCUUAGGAUGGUAUUCAGUGAAGUUUUACUCAGAGGAGGCCCACUGAAAUUAAGGAACAUGACUUAUCCACACUUACUUUUUGCCCUAUCCUUUCCAGGCACACUUUAAAGCUCUGCUUUUCAUAUAAGAAUAGACCUGUAGAGUUGGAAGGGACCCUGAGGAUCAUCUAGUCCAACCCCCUGCAAUGCAGGAAUAUGCAGCUGCCCCAUACGGGGAUCAAACCUGCAACCUUGGCGUUAUCAGCACUGUGCUCUAACCAACUGCACUAUCCAGGCUUGUUAACCAAUUGAGCUAUCCAGACUGAGCACUCGUUCCAGAGCUUUCCCUGUGGAAACCUGCUCUUUUAAGCUGUAGUGCCACAAACAGCAAUUCGAGUUUUCUGUGGAUUGCUGUUUGCUCUGAUUCAGCAUUAGAGAGCAGGUUUUCAUAGGGAAAGCCCUGGGGGUGGGAGGAAACAGAGCACUCAUGUGGAGCUUUAAAGCAUGGACUGUGCCUGGAAAUUGCAGAGGAAAGGUAAGUGUGGGUAAGCCCUAAAUUAGGUCCCCUAAUUUCUAUGGGUUUACCCUGAGUAAAAUUUAUUUGAAUACCAAUGCCUGGUAUUAGCAUCACUCAACCAAUUACUGUGGCAUUCCAGAUAGAUAUGCCUGUUUAUCUAUUUGGAAUUUAGGAAUCUUUGUUUGUGAAUGAUUAGAACAAUAUUUUCCUGGAAGCCCUAGUAAGGUAUGUGCAAAAAAGCUGGCAGUGAAGAAGAUCCCUGCUGUGGGGAUUGUAAUACCAGGUUCCAGGAUUCAAACUUCUCUUUUGUUAUGGCUAGCUCUUCUCUGGUGGCAAGUAGGUGUGUUUCACCCACCGUGUUGCUCAGGACAUAAAACACUGUGCCUUUAGAAAUCCACCUUCUAUGAAGUCUUCUGGUUUCCUGGACAGUUUCUCUUCAUCAAAAGUAUACGAGGUGCUUUCUCUUUAAUUUUUCUAAGGUGCUUAAUUAAAUAUCCUGAAAAGCUACUUCCUUGUAUAUGUUGCUGGAAGCUAAUGUUUCUAGAGGGAACACUUUGUUUCCUCUAGAAAUUUCUACUUUGCUUAAGCUUGGAAUCCCAUAUGCUCAAGAUGGACUCAACAGGCUGGAAUGACUGAUUUGAACCAAUUGAGGCAGAUUUUUUGUGUUGAAAACUGACUACUGUAUCUCUCUCCACCUGAUGUUGAGUUGUAUAUUGCCAAUGUGUCAUUCUGUGUUUGUAUUAAUUGUGUGGAGUAAUGUUUUGGUGUAAGAGAAAGAUAGAACAAGCCACCUAACUAACCUUUGAAUAGGCAGGCACACACACACACACACACACACACUUACUUACUUACACUAGCUAUAUCUGUGCGAAAGUUUUUUCAAGGACUUAGAUCUACUCAAUUCCAUAUGAUGUUCUGAAUUGAGACCAUGUUAGUUUUGCCAGCUGCAUGCCAAAAGCCAGCUUUAGCAGUAUAUGUAGUACUUGCUGCAUUUUCCAUAAUAUAUCAGGAAUUUGCUCCUAUACAGAAACAUUUCUGAAAGAGCUCUUUUUACACACAAUGUUAAAGUUGUAUCUUCUAGCAUGAAUGGGCAAGACUUGACACCUGGGAGAACCACUGCGAGUGCCAGGCUAGAUGAAGGAACAGUUUGACUCUCAUACCCGCCAACAUUUCAGGGAAAUGCCCUGUUCAGGGAAGCUUUUCAUCUGUGAUAUUUUACUGUAUUUUUUGUUUCUAUGGAAGCCGCCCAGAGUGGCUGGGGAAACCCAGCCAGAUGGGCGGGGUACAAAUAAUAAAUUAUUAUUAUUAUAUUAUUAUUAUUUCCUUGAUGAAAAUAGAGACAUCCUAUUCCAUAAUAAUAAUUUUAUUAUGUAUACCCACCCAUCUGACUGGGUUGUCCCAGCUGCUCUGGGAAACUUCCAAUAUAGAUAAAAACAUAAUAAAACUAUACAGGGUUGCCUUCAGAUGUCUUCUAAAGGUUGUAUAGUUACUUAUUCCUUGGCUUGAGGGUUGCAUAACUCCAUACUAUCCAACUUUUCUCCGUUGAAAUUAGGGACAUCCUACCAUACCCUCUAAUAUUUAUCUGAUAAAAAUAGGGGUGUCCUAUGGGAAAUUGAGACAUUCCAGGAUCAAAUCAGAAACUGGGACAGCUUCUGUAAACUUGGGACUGUCCCUGGAAAACAGGGACACUUGGAGGGUAUAAUUAACAUAUAUAUGUAUAAUUAACAUAUAUAGUCUCAUAAGAAGUACCACAUUUAUCUUAGCAAAAAUACAGAAGGGUUAACUUGUUGCUACAUACAAAGUUAAUGUUAAGUUAAUCACUCAAGAAUCUCAUCAUGUUAGCAGUCAUCAAGAAGUCGUCUGUGUGCGUACACAUUUCGUCCCCAGUAUUCUAUGACUUUUUAAUACUAUCUUACAGUGAGAUAGCAUGGAAAUAAUUGUCUGUUCUUUGCUUUUGAAAGGUGCUAUGCCACAUAAGGUACAGUUUUUAAAAAUAGUGCAUUUAUGUAUUUUAAAUUGUGUUGUGCAUCUACAGCCACAGGUGAUGCUUUAGAGUUCGGUAACCAGUUUUAUUGAGAAUAAUUUUCCAGCAAUCUCCUGAACUGGUCAAUGAACUCAGUCUUGUCUACAGUUCUUUGUGCAUGUUGAUACACACAAGGAGUUGCUGAAUGAGCAGUCUACCUUUACCUUUAUGAUGGAUGGGAUAGAAAUGCAUGUCCAAAGGAAUGCAUGCACUAUCAGCUUCCUCCAUUCAAAUGAAUGGCGGACAAUGGUUUACAACCCAAGAAGUGGUUUUACAGCUGAGCUUUUGGGAUUGCAAACAAUUGCCCACUUGCAUCACUGACUGUAAUGGGGUCUAAGUGCUAAAUCGCAGCUGCUGUGAAUAGAAAUCACUAAUCAUUUUUACUACUGUAGCAAUUUCUUAUACAAUAGGUGAGGCUUUUUUCACAGCCUGUCUGGUUAUGGUUUUAUAAUCUAUAGAGUUUUAUACACUGAGCAAGCAGGCAGUAAAGUAGUUUCAUUUUCAGAAAUUAUACACCACAAAUUGCAGCUUGGAAUAAUUCUAGGUCUUGUUCUACUUUUAAAAUAAUUCAUCAUCAUGACUAAGGUAUGGUUAUAUCAGUGGAUAAAUGCAAUGAAGUUCCCUUAAAUAUUUCUUGUAAUUGUAUGUACAGUCUGAUGUAAUUUAGCGAUUCUGUUUUCCUAAUAUUGUUCAUUUAGUAUUCCUAGCCAAUUUAACAUUUGGCUGCUGAAAGCACAGUAGGCAAUUAUGUUUAUUGACUGUAAAUAAGGACAAACUUCUGUAUAACUGCAUUGGAACAAGAAAGUGUGGCUCAAGAAAUACAGUUCAGUGAUAUAUAUAUAUAUAUAUAUAAAACACUUUAUUUAUGUAUUGCAGGACCCUCGCCCUAUCGUAUCAGUGGAUAAAUCCCUUCAUUUUCUUACUUUGCAAAAGGUCUUUGUGUGUUCCCAUUUCAAAAGGCAGAUCAUAAGGCAUAUGGAGUGCUAUUUUUCCAGAAAAAGAGGCACCGGAACUCACCAUGAAUGUCUUGUUCUCUUAUAAUUGCAAUAGCGCCUACCAGAGAGGUGCCAGAACUGAGUUCCACUGAGUUCCAGCUGGUGAAAAAGCCCUAGGCAUAUGACUUGUGGAUUGUUAGAGAUCUAUGUAAAUAGUGUUUAAAGGGAUAAAGGUUUUGUACAGAGAUGAAACACAUAUCCAAAACCCCACUAUGGAAACUAUAUUUAAAACCCACUUAAUAGUGUGGAAUAAAGUACAAUAAAAAUUGCUUAAGGGAAUGCAUGCAUCUUUUUCUUGGUGUGCUAGGAGUUUUCACAAUUCUUUUGACUCCUUUUUAUAGAACAUGAAUAAGAGGAUUCAUAAAUACAUUUUCAUGAGUGUGUUUAUUUAAAAGUUUAAUAUUUCAUCUGCACUAAUAAAAGCAAGAAGUGUUAUGCUCUUAAUUGAGAACGAAAGGUAAGUGGUGAGGUAACAAAGUUUGCUGAUGAUUGUAAAUUGUUCAG